rnacentral:rRNA from 1 species
GCUCAAACGGGGUUGGUCAUUGGAAGCUGGGGAACUUGAGUGCAAAAGAGGAGAGUGGAAUUCCACGUGUAACGGUGAAAUGCAUAUAGAUGUGCAGGAACACCAGUGGCGAACGCGACUCUCUGGUCUGUAACUGACGCUGAGGCGCGAAAGCGUGGGGAGCAAACAAGAUUAUAUACCCUGGUACCCCACACCGUAAACGAUGAGUGCUAAGUGUUACAGGGUUUCCCCCCUUUAGUGCUGCAGCAAACGCAUUAAGCACUCCGCCUGGGGAGAACGGUCGCAAGACUGAAACUCAAAGGAAUUGACGGCGGCCCGCCCAAUCGGUGGAUCAUGUGGUUUAAUUCAAAGCAACGCGAACAACCUUACCAGGUCUUGACAUCCUCUGACAAUUCUACUUCUAGGGCUUCCCCUUCGGGGGCAGAGUGUCUGGUGGUGCAUGGUUGUCGUCAUCUCGUGUCGUGAGAUGUUGGGUUAACUCCCGCUACGAGCUCAACCCUUGAUCUUAGUUGUCUCAUUCACUUGGGCACUCUAACGUGACUGACGGUGAAAACCGGAGGAAGUGGCAUGACUUCCAUUCGUCAUGCCCCUUAUGACCUGGGCUACACAAGUGCUACGAUGCGCGAAGCUAAG